AAUGAAAAAUCAUCAACAUUGCUUAAGAAUUGUAUAAAAAUAAUCACUUGUUCAAAAUGUCGUGUAGCACCGUUUCAGUCUUGGCCCCAAACGGCCGUCGACAGACCGUCAAAUGUACCGCAAACACGACCAUAAUGCAGAUUAUUGAAGAAGUUUGUCGCAAACAGGGUUUCAAGCCGGAGGAUUACGAUAUUAAGCACCACAACAAAGUGCUUGACACAACUAUUUCGUUCCGUUUUUCUGGUUUGCCAAAUAACGCUCAGUUAGAAUUAGCAACAGCAACCAAAGCACGCACGGACUCGGAAGUAAUUCUAGGGCUAUGAAUGUAAAGCGACGUUAUUGGUCGAUUAAAAAUAAAGCUUUCAGCCACCGCAAGGGAGCGCAUCGGUAGAAAUAAAUAGGCAGCACAAAUUGCACUGUUGUGUUACUGUGUUACCUAAACAUGCUUUGGCUGUGGGCUCUGGUGUCAAAGUCUGUAAUACCGACAGCACAAAUGUCAAACAAAACUAUCAAAUCAGGGUGGUGAAACCUAAAUGCACCAAGCCAAGUAUAGGCGCCAAAUUCAAAAUCGACUGUAGUUCGGCUUGCUAUCGCAGAUGUCGCACACACGUAUAGUCAAUUUUAGCGAAGCUACCUAUAAUAUCGGCAGAAAUUAACAGUGGACCUGUGACAGUUGCCAUUGUGUAAAUCGCCAUUUUGUGCUUGGUUUGUUUGGUGUUCGCCCUCGGCUUUGUUUUAUGUGAAAUUAGUACUGUUUUGUGGUUUUUUUCGUGUGUGUGCUUUUUUGAACUUUUUUAUUGUGGGAAUAUAAAUAAUUUGAUGGAUCAAUCAUUAGUUUAUAGUUAUCGUAUCGUGUAUAUUGACUAGUGAUAAUAAAUUUUUAUUACAAGUUUAUUGUCUUUAUUUAUUCUCAUAUUUUAUUUUUCGUAUUCUUUGUAAAUAUUCAGCAACAAUAGUUGUCUAACAUCAGAAAGUGUUAUUAGCAACUAUUGUUGUGAAUAUUUACAAACAAUACGAAAAAUGCAAUCAAACUUUAAAAGAAAAGUAACUACGGGCAAUUCAAAUCGCCCGCCGAUAACGCUUAGUACGCGCUGGCAACAAUAGAUGUGCUAGUGACACUUUCGCUCUAUCCGGACAAGGACAGAUGCGUUUCUGUAAAACCUGUUAUUCUGUGUAUCAAAUGGUCGAACGCCAUUUUUAACGGUUUUGUAUGUGGUUUUUUUUACCUUGUUAUUCAACAAAAUGCAUACAGCAGUGCAUUUACUUUGGUUUUAGUUUUUACAACUAAUAAAGUACUCUUUGAAUUCGUGAGAGAAAAUUGAACGUGGGCAUGGGACUAUAACACUGUUGUUUGUUCGGUACAAGGGUGUACCAACAAUAAAAGGCCCAUAUUUGGUUUCCCACAUCCCAUCAGUAGAUACAGGCCGUCAAGAACCCUGGAUAAUGUAGUUUGGAUUGCCAGUUGGCUAUCCAAGGUGCCGGAGGACAACAGCAGCAAUUUGUUGCAAAAUGAGUGAUUAAUUUUGCUAAGAGAACUGGAUUUUCAACCUUUUGCUCAACGUGUGGACAGAUUCAACAUUUGAAAAAUAAAUGUUCCACCAGAUGCAACGACACAAAUCGUAUUUCUUAACCGUACAACAGUAAGCCUCAGUCAGUUAUAACAACAAAACAAUCCUCCAAUAAGUCGAGGCUUUCACGUCGGUGUUUCAAUUAAACUAAACAGCGUCGAAUGACCGAAGACCGCUUUGCAAGAGCUAAAACCGGCAAGUUGCCAUCAGAUGUGAAAAAUAAUAACCUGUGUGUAAAUUUGCAUUACAGAACAAUAAUUUUAAGAUGAAUGUACCUAUGUCAAAUAAAAACUGUUAUUAAUAAAUUUUUACAAUAUUACAAUU